UACGUAGGGUGCAAGCGUUGUUCGGAAUUACUGGGCGUAAAGGGCUCGUAGGUGGCCAACUAAGUCAGACGUGAAAUCCCUCGGCUUAACCGGGGAACUGCGUCUGAUACUGGAUGGCUAGAGAUUGGGAGAGGGAUGCGGAAUUCCAGGUGUAGCGGUGAAAUGCGCAGAUAUCAGGAAGAACACCGAUGGCGAAGGCAGCUCUCUGGGACGGUACUGACGCUGAGACGCGAAAGCGUGGGGAGCGAACAGG
rnacentral:rRNA from 1 species